AUUGAACGCUGGCGGCAUGCUUUACACAUGCAAGUCGAACGGUAACAGGCCGCAAGGUGCUGACGAGUGGCGAACGGGUGAGUAAUGCAUCGGAACGUGCCCAGUCUGGGGGAUAACGCAGCGAAAGCUGUGCUAAUACCGCAUACGAUCUAUGGAUGAAAGCGGGGGACCGUAAGGCCUCGCGCGAUUGGAGCGGCCGAUGUCAGAUUAGGUAGUUGGUGGGGUAAAGGCCUACCAAGCCAACGAUCUGUAGCUGGUCUGAGAGGACGACCAGCCACACUGGGACUGAGACACGGCCCAGACUCCUACGGGAGGCAGCAGUGGGGAAUUUUGGACAAUGGGCGCAAGCCUGAUGCAGCAACGCCGCGUGAGCGAAGAAGGCCUUUGGGUCGUAAAGCUCUGUCGGGAAGGAAGAUAAUGACGGUACUUCCCGAGGAAGCCCCGGCUAACUACGUG
rnacentral:rRNA from 1 species